CUUGGCCCGGGCUUCCAGCCUCUUCUGUUUUCCAGCCAGACCCAGAAAAACGAAAACACAGCUCGGGGAGCCCCCACCAGCCGGGGCCUGUGCCAGCUCACCUCUGGCCAUGGCGCAGCUGCUGGUGCACACAGCGGCCAAGGCCGGCUCCACAUUCCUCCCUCCCUCUCCCCACUUCACCGGAGACCGAGCCCUGCAUGCAGAGGAAGGGCCCCAGCUCCACGGACUGCCAAGGUCGACUGGGUCCCUCCUCACCAAAAAUGGUGAGACAAGAUUUCAUCUUGUCUGCAGAGAAGCCACAAGCAGAUGAGGAAACCGAGGCACAGAAUGAGUGAGUGACUUCUGCGAGGUCCCACAGCUGGGUGGCAGAGGCCAGGAUCUGUGCGACUCGAUCGAUCGGUUACUCUGUGCCAGGUCCUCAGGCGAGCUUGUGCCUUAAGUCCAGGUCCCGCGGCACCGUUGCUCAGGGUAGGGGACUAGAGUGUGAAGGUCGGCGGGAGACAGUGAAGACACCGGUGGACGGAUGGACGGACCCUGCCGGGAGGACAGGCGGGGCCGGGCAAGCGACCGCGAGAAUGAACCUGAAGCCCCAGAGACGGCGGCGGGGACCCCGCGAGCCGGGAGGAGGCGUGGCGAGGCCUCCUCCGGGCCGAUCGCGUCCCCGGAGCUCGCUCGGCCCGCCCGGCCUCCUCGGCCUCCUCGCCCAGGGCCUCGGCAGCCCGCGUGGCGGCCAAGUCGAAAUGGGGCAGUGACCCACCCUCUUCUCUUCCUGUUCUGCUCCGGAGAAGAACGGAGGCUCCGGGCUCUGCGACAUAACCGACCGCGGGACCGGGGCAGAGGCGUGAACUUGUAAUCUGCUAAGAAAGGUUAAUAGUGACAACAGUAACAGUACUCUAGGCGUUUGCUUGCCCCACGCGAUCGGAUCGAAUGCGAUCAUUCAUUCGAUAAACACUCAUGUGAUAUCCACCUACUACAUGACAGGCUCCGCACUAGGCUCUUUCAUUCUAAAAUAUUUCUCUUUAUUCGUGUCUUUUUGGAUAAGUUUUGUUGUAAUAUUAUGUACCCCAAAGUGGCUAAAAUCCACAAAGUAUCACAAAGUGAACACACCUGUGACAUCAGCAACAGCUCAAGAAGCAGAACACAGGAUCUCACUACCCCGCCAAGGGGAGCCGCUACCCUGACAUCAAACAGCCACAAAUUGUUCUUUUCAUUCAACAAAUAAAUGAUGCCGGAAGGGCAUUGUACACGACCAGUGGAGUGCUAUUAAUAAGAGGCUCCAUUCCCUAAGUUAGUUGCCGUUGAGCCAGAACAGGAUUUGUGGGAGUGCUUGCUUUUCCUGGAUCUUUUCAAGGGACUGAAAACCUGGGUUCUCACGCCCACCCCUUCCCAGACCACGUAGGCACCUCCUGUGAUCCCUGGGGUCCCUUGGUGGAAUGAAACCUUUCCCUCUGAGGACCCUUCCUUCUGCGACUAAUGAGGGUGGUUAAAUAUUAUUCAGAAAUACUAGGACAGAUUGGAAGCAUGGCUGAUUGCAGUAUUUAUUAUUACUAAAACCAAUGUUCUUCACGAAUUUAGAAUAAUAACAACACAUGUUUGAAAGUGAAUGUCUCCACUCUGAGGCUCCGCAUACAUGUGGGGCCUGGGAUUCAUCACAAAACCUCACAGAGGUUCUAUGACUUUAAAUAAGAAUUGGAGGCUUCUUUAGAAAUCUUCAGAGAAGAGUGUUUCUGCCUGUAGCAGCAGAUUCUUCCUACUGAGCAGAACCUCACGUUCCACGGGAUGGUAGACUAGAAUGGCCCACCUUCAUUGUUACCAUGAGUUCCAACCUACAAACUGUUAACAGUGGGAGGCACGGAUCUUAAGGAGUUUUUCCCCUGCAUGUUCAUUUCCUGCCAGACGGGGUGAUGGGGGAGGGUCCAACCUGUUUUCCUGAGCUGCCUGGCCUGGGGAUGCCUUAGGACAGUGCCCAGGAAAAUCUCUUCAAACAUUAGAAAUCUUUAUCUAUAGAACUGCGAUGGGGCGCCUGGGUGGCUCAGUCGGUUAAGCGUCCGACUUCGGCUCAGGUCACGAUCUCGCGGUCCGUGAGUUCGAGCCCCGCGUCGGGCUCUGUGCU